rnacentral:rRNA from 1 species
UUGAAAUCUGGCUCUCGGGCCCGAGUUGUAAUUUGUAGAGGAUGCUUUUGGUGAGGUGCCUUCCGAGUUCCCUGGAACGGGACGCCAUAGAGGGUGAGAGCCCCGUCUGGUUGGACACCGAGCCUCUGUAAAGCUCCUUCGACGAGUCGAGUAGUUUGGGAAUGCUGCUCUAAAUGGGAGGUAUAUGUCUUCUAAAGCUAAAUAUUGGCCAGAGACCGAUAGCGCACAAGUAGAGUGAUCGAAAGAUGAAAAGCACUUUGAAAAGAGAGUUAAAAAGCACGUGAAAUUGUUGAAAGGGAAGCGCUUGUGACCAGACUUGGGCUUGGUUGAUCAUCCGGCGUUCUCGCCGGUGCACUCUUCCAGUUCAGGCCAGCAUCAGUUUGCUUCGGGGGAUAAAAGUUUCGGGAAUGUGGCUCCUCCGGGAGUGUUAUAGCCCGUUACAUAAUACCCUGGGGCAGACUGAGGUUCGCGCAUUUAUGCAAGGAUGCUGGCGUAAUGGUCAUCAGCGACCCGUCUUGAAACACGGACCAAGGAGUCGUCUUCGUAUGCGAGUGUUCGGGUGUCAAACCCCUACGCGUAAUGAAAGUGAACGCAGGUGAGAGCUUCGGCGCAUCAUCGACCGAUCCUGAUGUUCUCGGAUGGAUUUGAGUAAGAGCAUACGGGGCCGGACCCGAAAGAAGGUGAACUAUGCCUGUAUAGGGUGAAGCCAGAGGAAACUCUGGUGGAGGCUCGCAGCGGUUCUGACGUGCAAAUCGAUCGUCAAAUA